CUGAGCACUGACUACCGAGGCACCGAGUGUGAGAGGCAACGGCGGUCAGGGAGCAGGCGUGGUUCGUCGGCGAGCAGCUGCGGGCAACGGUGCCUUGGCGUCACGCAUCCGCCGUCACUCACCUCAAGCUUGCGGGCUCUGCGACCACCCUCUCAUAGUCAUAGGCCACAGAAGGUGUAGUAGUACUUCAUACAUUUCGAGCAGUUUCUUUCAGAUUGUUUGUUUUUGAGCUUCUAAUUUUGGGAUGCAUUAGAUAGUGAUGAAAGCCUAAGAGUCGGUAAUAUGACUUAUUGGAAUUUUAGUGUUGGUACUCACAGUCAGAACAUACUCCUAUUUUGCAUCACAUUUGCCUUGUGCGUGCUGCUGGUCUGUUCCACUCGUGAACAUCAGACGCGAAGAUUAUAGAUCCACCCCUGAUUUGAAGGUGUUCACAGAUUCAGGUACUGCCAAUUGCCUGGAUGAACACCAGCCCAUUUGCUCCUUUUCCCCUUGCGUUAUUUUCCCUGUAUUUUACUAGCUGCCGUAGCUGGAACACAAUUCCCUUUCAAGAUGUCAUAUUUAUGGAAUAUAAUUCAUUUUUAAGAUGCCG
rnacentral:sRNA from 1 species